UACGUAGGGGCUAGCGUUGUCCGGAAUCAUUGGGCGUAAAGAGCGCGUAGGCGGCCAGAUAAGUCCGGUGUGAAAGUCACAGGCUCAACCUGUGAAUGCCGCUGGAAACUGUCUGGCUAGAGUCCGGGAGGGGCGAGUGGAAUUCCUGGUGUAGCGGUGAAAUGCGCAGAUAUCAGGAGGAACACCAUGGCGAAGGCAGCUCGCUGGGGACGUUACUGACGCUGAGACGCGAAAGCGUGGGGAGCAAACAGG
rnacentral:rRNA from 1 species